rnacentral:lncRNA from 1 species
ACAAAAGCUUGUGACUAGGCCCCUUUGUUCCCAGGAAACAGCAGACAGUGAGCCGCAGGGCAGGGCCUCUCCAUGCCGUGAAUUCCCGCUUGUCCUUUCUCACAUAAUCUCAAGUGAGGCUUAUUUACAGCUCCUUGUCUGCCUUCCACCGGGGUGGCACUGGAGUGCCUCCCUGGCUAUUCUCACCCCACAUCUCUUGGAGAUCGUUCCCUCUUAGGACACAUGGCCUUGCCUCAUUGGCUGGAGUGACUGCGUGGUAUUCCGUCUCAUGAGUGUGUCAUGAUGCAUUUAACCCUUCAUCCCCUGUGGAUGGAAGGUUAGGCUGGAUCCCGUCUUUUGCAACCUGAACAAUGUUGGAGAGAUACCAUUUGUGUGCUGGGGGAGACGCAGCCCUAGAAGUGAAGCUGAUGCAGCAAGGGGAGCCAGGGAGGCACAUUGUAAAUGGUGGCGGGUGGUUCCAAAUGGCUCUCGAGAGUACACUCCACCACGAAUAUGUGAGGUGCCUGUGCUCCCCCCGCCCCCGACGUGACAGGUAGAAACUGAUAUUUUUCCUAGUUCUAAUUUGCAUUGAUUUUCUUAGGCUAGGGAUUUUGAAUGACGUGUGUAUCCUAAGGGCCAGGCAGGAGCUAUGUUUCAUUUCCCACAGAAAGCCUCAGAUCACUGGCCUGGGCAGAGAGGAAUGAGAAGCUGGGGCACCUUCUUCAUGUCCUCAAGAGCAGCAAGUCUCUGUUCUGGUCAUUCAAACUCAGUGCCCUAAAAAUGACCAUUAUGUGACCUUGCAUGGCUCUGUGGGGUGGCGGGGCUCAGCUGGGUGGGUCUUCUGCUGCUCUUGCUUGGGGUCUCUUGAGAAGAUGGUCCUGGGGAUGAAGCCAUUGGAGGCUUGGCUCUGAUGCUGUGAUGGUCAGGCCUCGCUUCUCCUCCAGGUGAUCUCAGGGCCUGUCCCUCUCCAUGGGGCCUCUCCACCUGGACGACUUGAGUGGUGCUCAAAGCUCCCAAGGGAGCAAACACCGAGGCUGUCAGGCCUUCUUGAGGCGGAGGCCCAGAGUGGCACAGCCUCACCCCCACGGCACUCUCCUGGAAUGAGUCCCAGAUAGUCCACAAGGGUGUGAUGUUGGGUGACCGUGCUCUGGGCGUGGUGGAUCAGCUGCUGGACGGUGAGAGGCACUCCCUGCAGGGUAGGUGGACGGCUGCCCCCAGGGCCUUACACAGCAAGGCCAGGGGACGGCCACCCUGGCCGGUGAGCCCGACUUCCAGGCAAGGCGCCUUCCUUGCAUCCCAGCUUGUUUGGAGCCUCCAGGACAUCCCUACUGAGGGUCCCACAGGAGCCUGGGUCUGGACAGGGACCCUCUCACCUCAAGUCAGACACCUUUCAUCCCCAACAGCAGAGGGACUGAUACCUCCCCCUGGCUACCCUCUGUCGCCCGAAGCCAGCCCUGACUUUGUGCAGGCGCCACUCACCUUCCUGAGGGUCCACCUGCCUCCCAGCUGGCUGUGCUCCCAGCCACCCUCCCUGCACAUGAAUGGGCCAACGAAGUCCAGAUAGCAAUGUCUGCCCAUCACAUAUCCCCCAGCCUGACCCCAUAUCCAGCAUCCCAGCACCCACCCUGUUCUGCUGGCACCCACCUGCCUCAGCCCUGCUUCGUGGUGUCAGAGGCAGGCCUAUCCUCCUGGCACCUCGACCCAGGAAGCUGCUGGGCAGCGCCUCCAGCCAGGGCCCUCCUCCCCUGGGCUGAGGCUGUGUGGUGGGGUCACUGGAUGGGAGGGAGGGAGGCCUUGGGGCCCGGAGUACCCUGCCACUACCCAGCAAUUCCAGCUGAUGCCUCCACAUCUUUGGAGUUGGGUCUGAUUGGUGAUGGGUUGGGGGCUUCUCAGUGUUCUACAGUCCAAUACUGCCCAGCUCCGGAGGCUCCUAUUGUACCAGGAGCAGGUGUUGCAUAAGUGCUUUCUGAAGAUCAUGAGACACCUGGGCAAGGAAGGACUGUGCAUUGAGUGUUUCAUGCUGCGGUGGCUCCUCCAGUGUUUCAUUGAUGGGGUAAGGAGGCACAGGGAGACCCCAGCCCAUGGACACAGUGCCCGGCUGCCCCAGCUCAGGGGUCCAGCUCCACCAGGAGGACGUGGCUCACCCCCAGCCCGUAGGAGGCACAGGCAGGUCCCUGCAUGACACACAAACCAGGCCCUGUUUGAGAGGGGGUAUCCCAUGGCAGAGGCCAGGGCUUAGGCCCAGCUUUAUGGGCAGACUGGACCAGGACCCGACUUGGGAGGGCCCAAGGAAGCCCAAAGUCCUCAGGAAGCCCCUCCUUCCAGAAGCAACAGCGCUGCUGAGGUGGGUCCCCCAUGAGGAGCUGCAGGACCUUGUCUGACCCUGCUUUAUAGGGGGCUCUCAUCCCAUGGAGAGGUGUUCCCAGCAUUCCAGGAGACUGAAACCCCAGGCGGCCCUGCUCAGGCCUCUGAGCCCAGCCCAGAAAGGCAGGUCCUCCCACACUUCCUGUCCCCACAAAAUCCUUCGGGCUCACCCUGCAACUGUGGGAUAUGCUCAUCUUGGAGGGCGAGCAGAGUGCCUCAUGAAGCUUUCCUGGAGCACCAUCUGGGAGUUUCAGGAGCGACUUUUUCAGAGCUGGGCCCCGGAGGACAACGUGGUCCUCAGGAACCUUCAAACCUCCGUGAAGGAACUCACAAGGAAACACUGGGACCUGCCACCCCCAGGUGGGCUCCAGCACCAAGUCUCCUCCCAAGUCACCCUCUGGGGCAGUCAGUGGUGGGGAGUGCCCUGGCCCUACCAGCCCUCCUACCUGGCCUUCCUCCUGCACCUCUUCCUCCUCUACUCUAAGAAAGUAAAAUGGGUCUGCCACUCCUCAGGGCAGGCACUGAGCGUGUGUGUGCGGGACAUGAGGUGCAGACAGGCAGGGGCUGUGGGCAGGACCCCCCAACUUCCCUCCCCCUCUUUCCACAUUGUCCCCAUCACCCCCUCAAAGGGCCCUGAAGGGCACUGGGGCAGUCAGAUCCAGGUGUGGAAGACCCCACCCCUGCCUCCAAGCAGCAGGAUCCCUCAUUCUUGAGUGCCCCUCCAAGCCUGUCAAGACAACAAGCCAGGAGGACAAGAGAGAAUCAGUGUCCCAGAUCCAGAGAGGAUUUGGGCAGAGGGCACGGGGGGAAGCCCUGACCCAGAGCCAGAACCAAGAGUUCAGCCGGGCAUGGGAUUUGUCCAGCCCUGGCAUGGGGUGGACGGCCUGGAGGGCAGAGGGAAACCCGUGCCCUUCACUUCUCACCCACUGUGGAGACAGACCCCAUGCGAGGUGGCAAGGGGGCUGGGUGACAGUGAAGGUCCCUUUCACCUGAGUUCUGAGUCAGGGCUGCUGAACAGCCCUGAGGUGAGGGAGGGCGUGAGGCAGGAAGCCCUGAGCCAGCCUGAAGCCUGGGAGCCGUUUCAGGACCGACCUGAGGUUCCCUGAAAGCUCCCCCACCCCAGGCUGCACACAGCCCUCACCCUGGGAUCAGCAGCUUGCAGAGGUGUCCUCAGUGUCAGGCCAGAGGACACCCGGGGACCCCAGGACUCCAGAGGCCCAGGGCUGUGGGCCCAGCCCUGGAGAGGCCCCUGAGGCCUCUGACCCCACCUGUGGGUCAGAGCCUGUCCCCCAGGGCCUGAGUCCCAGGCCCAGAGGGACCUGGCUUCAACUCGAGUUGUCCUAGGAGGACAGGGGCACUGCAGAUCUCCAGGUGACCACGCAGGGCACCAGGGCACUGCAAGCCCUGAUGCUGUAAGGAUUCACAUCAGAGAACCUGGGCAAGCCAGGCCAGAGACGCUGAGCCCGUGCAGUGAUGAGGAUGUGGAGGGCUGGCUCAAGGGGGUCAACAGCUGUGAACACUGCUGCCUCUUCCCGGCCUCAUUGUUGCAGUGCAGGCAGUCUGCACCCCGGAGCCUGGCCCAACAGCGCCCCGAGUGCCCUAGUCCACUAUGCCAACAUGGUACCCGGAGGCUUCGAGGCCCUGCCUGCUGCACCACCCGCCUCCUGGAGGCCUUGUUCUGCAGCCUAGCCCCUGCCGCAGCCACAGCAGGCACCACUGCCAAGUGCCUUCCAGCCGGGCUUCCCAGAGGACAGAGGCAUCCUGCAGUCAUUGCCUCAGCAGCUCACACUGUGAAGAUAGUUUCAUCCACAUUCCCAUGUUCCCACCAAAGAGAAUCCCUGCAGAGGGUGCUCUUGAUCCUGCGGUGGGGAAAACAGCACACUAGGUGGACUCAGCUCCUUUCCCUGGCCACCAUGAUUGCUGGAUGGGCCCACAAAGCAGCCAUCAGACAGGCAUGUUGGGGAAGAGCCUAAGCAAUCCUGCUUGUUCCCUGACCAGACCGACACCACUGCCGAGUGCCCCAUCUGCUGAUGAGAGAUUUGGUGUCGAUCCCUGGACUGGCACCAUUUCCCAGGAGGAGCGGCUGGCUACCUGUGGGCAGGCUGCCCACACUGUGGAGAGGGCUGAGAUCGGCCUUCACUACGGGGAGCCCCUACCUGGACAUAGACUCGCCAGCCCUGCCUGUUGCCAUCACAGCAGCCCACAUGGCAUUGCUUGUGACCAGGGUACCCCAUUCACAGUGACGGACAUGCAGCAGUGGCCCUUGACUAGGGAACUAACUCUUCUCGCUACGUCACCCACCGCCUGGAAGCAACUGGACUUAGGAUCGCUGUUAUGCUGAAGUGGUGAGGUUGUCUUACAAGAUGAAUUUUAUCCUUUCUACUGGAAGCCAGUGUAUGGUGAUGACUCCCCCACAACCAGAAGGUGUAGUUCUGAGUGAAGGUGUGAAAGUGGACGAUGUUCAGUGUUGCACCGAAUGUCUCAGUCACAAAGUUUUCCUAUUGCCUGUCCUGGAGAAAUGGAACUUUGCUGGUUGGAAGGUCUUAGGACCCAGGAAGAGUGAAGCUUCCCCCAGGGGAACACAACAAUGGUUCUAUUUAAUAUGAGGAGACAGGACUAAGUCUGAAACCUCGGGGCAUUCUCUGGUGUUCUUGAGUGUUUCCAUGUAAAGGAAGUCAAGUAACUUGCCACAAAGCUUUGCCACAGAAGCAUCUGAAAAAGGAGGGGGCAGAACUAUUCAGAACUCAGAGGUUUCAGAACCAAAGAUGAGGCCGAGAAGAUUCCUGACCCGCUGAGGGCAAGGGAAGUAUGUGGGGGCGGCUGGGAGAGGAUGUUAUAGAGUCCGCCAUGGCCUCGUGACCUGUCACAGAACCGUGCACUUUAAUAGCUGUGCACAUCUUCUCUGCACUGAUUAUAGUAUUUCUUUGCCUUUGCUACUCUCCACACAGGGAGCUUGCUACAAAAUGCACAUAACCACAGCCCGGGUCUUGCAAUCCAAGCCUGGCAAGGAUUCAGCAUGUCAAGGGCUUCAGGUCUGAAGGUCCAUGGCUGUCCUGAAUCCUGGAUAUCACCUUCUUGCCCAAAAAAGGAGGGACGAGGCUCAAACCGCAGCAGGCCACUCACAGAAAGGGACGAAACGUUGAGUGCGUGGCCUCCCUGACACCCAGACAAGACUUUGGGCCCAAAGCCAGGCUGCAGCUCUGGCCACUGACUCAGACCAGGGACGCCCCCAUGCAGGCCGGUGUCCCCUGGCCGCUCUUCUCCCUCCUGCCACCCUCUCUUCGGCUGCUUGUGUCAAUAAAAGGAAAACUGGCCAGUUCUCAGAGAAAAUGUAGCUUUAUUAUGACAUAGGAGAGACUACAAAGCACUGGGGGGGAGGAGGAGUGACACAGCUCCUCAAAAUGGAAGGGGAAAGGAAGAGUAAACAUCUUGGUAAAUAAAGUCUCCAACCACAGCACAGUCAUUGGAAUUUUUUUCUUCAUUUUUAUUUUCAAACUUACAGUAAACAAAACAAUCACUUAAAUUGUCAAAAGAACAGCAAUUUUACACAAUGAAGAGCAUACACACCAAGCCAAAAUACAAUAGCACUCAGGUCUAUAUGUUGCAGUGGUGCUGGCGCUGGAGGGAAUGCCCAGGGAGGCUGCAGUGCUCACCACGAAGCCCAGGUCCACGGAGGGAGCCAAGGUCCACAGAGGGCCCCGGGGCCAGAGGGAGGCCGCCCACACUCCCAGCACAUCACCUGCCUCAAAGCACUCCCUUCAGGCAUCUGAAGAGGGAAAGGCCAUGUGUCUUCCUGGGAGGCACUGAAAGGCCAGCCAGCAUCUCCAAAAUGCAGGCCAUUUUAACACUGCUGUGAAUGUGCUGGGGUCACCAAGGGGGCCCCUUAGUGGUCAGAUGCACUUUGUCACAAUGUACACCUACAUGGGGUGAUUACUAGGCAACGGGAGGUUUCCUGAAUUUCACAGCCAGAUGGGGAGCUAAAAGAAAUUCCUGAACCCAACGCGUAAAUAUUUUGUUCUGACAAAGUAAAUUCACAAGAACACAUCAAACACAAGACCUAAUGCAAGGGGCAGUGCCAGGGCCGCCGCCGCCUCCUGUGAGCAGCUCUUCAGCAGCAGGCAUCAGCUCUGCUGACAAGCUCAAUCACGGUGUCAUUUUACUGCCACCACGCCCGAAAGUAC